rnacentral:rRNA from 1 species
AACGAACGCUGGCGGCAGGCUUAACACAUGCAAGUCGAGCGCCCCGCAAGGGGAGCGGCAGACGGGUGAGUAACGCGUGGGAAUCUACCCAUCUCUACGGAAUAACGCAUGGAAACGUGUGCUAAAACCGUAUACGUCCUUCGGGAGAAAGAUUUAUCGGAGAUGGAUGAGCCCGCGUUGGAUUAGCUAGUUGGUGGGGUAAAGGCCUACCAAGGCGACGAUCCAUAGCUGGCCUGAGAGGAUGAUCAGCCACACUGGGACUGAGACACGGCCCAGACUCCUACGGGAGGCAGCAGUGGGGAAUAUUGGACAAUGGGCGCAAGCCUGAUCCAGCCAUGCCGCGUGAGUGAUGAAGGCCCUAGGGUUGUAAAGCUCCUUCACCGGUGAAGAUAAUGACGGUAACCGGAGAAGAAGCCCCGGCUAACUUCGUGCCAGCAGCCGCCGUAACAC